rnacentral:tRNA from 1 species
UGUUCUGUGGCUUAGUUGGUUAUAGCGCUGGAAUAGCGAUACAGAGUCGUGGGUUCGAACCCCACUAAAACAA